AUCCUUCUGUUGUUCAUAAGUGUGGUGACUGAGUUUUUAUAUCAUUGAGAUGUGCCUCCCUCAAACAGUGUUACAAUGUCAGUAUAUUACCUGUCUGAUA
rfam:Ictidomys tridecemlineatus contig050379, whole genome shotgun sequence.